rnacentral:rRNA from 1 species
AUUGAACGCUGGCGGCAGGCCUAACACAUGCAAGUCGAACGGUAACAGGAAGCAGCUUGCUGCUUCGCUGACGAGUGGCGGACGGGUGAGUAAUGUCUGGGAAGCUGCCUGAUGGAGGGGGAUAACUACUGGAAACGGUAGCUAAUACCGCAUAAUGUCGCAAGACCAAAGAGGGGGACCUUCUGGCCUCUUGCCAUCGUAUGUGCCCAGAUGGGAUUAGCUUGUUGGUGGGGUAACGGCUCACCAAGGCGACGAUCCCUAGCUGGUCUGAGAGGAUGACCAGCCACACUGGAACUGAGACACGGUCCAGACUCCUACGGGAGGCAGCAGUGGGGAAUAUUGCACAAUGGGCGCAAGCCUGAUGCAGCCAUGCCGCGUGGAUGAAGAAGGCCUUCGGGUUGUAAAGUACUUUCAGCGGGGAAGAAGGGAGUAAAGUUAAUACCUUGGCUCAUUGACGUUACCCGCAGAAGAAGCACCGGCUAACUCCGUG